rnacentral:tRNA from 1 species
GCGGGAUUAGUUAAAUGGUAGAACAUCUGCUUCCCAAGCAGGAAAUACGAGUUCGAUUCUCGUAUCCCGCA